GACGAACGCUGGCGGCGUGCUUAACACAUGCAAGUCGAACGGAAAGGCCCUGCUUUUGUGGGGUGCUCGAGUGGCGAACGGGUGAGUAACACGUGAGUAACCUGACCUUGACUUUAGGAUAACUUCAGGAAACUGGGGCUAAUACCGGAUAGGAGCUCCUGCUGCAUGGUGGGGGUUGGAAAGUUUCGGCGGUUGGGGAUGGACUCGCGGCUUAUCAGCUUGUUGGUGGGGUAGUGGCUUACCAAGGAUUUGACGGGUAGCCGGCCUGAGAGGGUGACCGGCCACAUUGGGACUGAGAUACGGCCCAGACUCCUACGGGAGGCAGCAGUGGGGAAUAUUGCACAGUGGGCGGAAGCCUGAUGCAGCAACGCCGCGUGCGGGAUGACGGCCUUCGGGUUGUGAACCGCUUUCGCCUGUGACGAAGCGUGAGUGACGGUAAUGGGUAAAGAAGCACCGGCUAACUACGUG
rnacentral:rRNA from 1 species